rnacentral:rRNA from 1 species
AGUUUGAUCCUGGCUCAGGACGAACGCUGGCGGCGUGCCUAAUACAUGCAAGUCGAGCGAGCAGAACCAGCAGAUUUACUUCGGUAAUGACGCUGGGGACGCGAGCGGCGGAUGGGUGAGUAACACGUGGGGAACCUGCCCCAUAGUCUGGGAUACCACUUGGAAACAGGUGCUAAUACCGGAUAAGAAAGCAGAUCGCAUGAUCAGCUUAUAAAAGGCGGCGUAAGCUGUCGCUAUGGGAUGGCCCCGCGGUGCAUUAGCUAGUUGGUAAGGUAACGGCUUACCAAGGCGAUGAUGCAUAGCCGAGUUGAGAGACUGAUCGGCCACAUUGGGACUGAGACACGGCCCAAACUCCUACGGGAGGCAGCAGUAGGGAAUCUUCCACAAUGGACGCAAGUCUGAUGGAGCAACGCCGCGUGAGUGAAGAAGGUUUUCGGAUCGUAAAGCUCUGUUGUUGGUGAAGAAGGAUAGAGGUAGUAACUGGCCUUUAUUUGACGGUAAUCAACCAGAAAGUCACGGCUAACUACGUGCCAGCAGCCGCGGUAAU